AUCUGACCUAUCAGCUUUCGACGGUAUGGUAUUGGCUUACCGUGGCAGUGACGGUUAACGGGGGAUUAGGGUUCGAUUCCGGAGAGGGAGCCUGAGAAACGGCUACCACAUCUAAGGAAGGCAGCAGGCGCGCAAAUUACCCAAUUCUAACAGUUUGAGAGAGGUAGUAACAAGAAAUAACAAUACAAGGCAAUUAAAAUGCUUUGUAAUUGGAAUGAUAGAAAUUUAAACCCUUUUUAAAGUAUCAAUUGGAGGGCAAGUCUGGUGCCAGCAGCCGCGGUAAUUCCAGCUCCAAUAGCGUAUAUUAAAAUUGUUGCAGUUAAAAAGCUCGUAGUUGAAGUUCUGCUAAAAGUAACCGGUCUGCUUUUAAUAAAAGUGGUAUCUUGGUGUGUAUUUAGCAAUGAUGUCCUUUGAAGUGUUUUUUACUUUAUUGUAAUAAAGCAUAUUCAGGACUUUUACUUUGAGAAAAUUAGAGUGUUUCUAGCAGGCCGACGCUUUGAAUACUGCAGCAUGGAAUAAUAAGA
rnacentral:rRNA from 1 species